rnacentral:rRNA from 1 species
AGCGAACGCUGGCGGCAGGCUUAACACAUGCAAGUCGAGCGGGCGUAGCAAUACGUCAGCGGCAGACGGGUGAGUAACGCGUGGGAACGUACCUUUUGGUUCGGAACAACACAGGGAAACUUGUGCUAAUACCGGAUAAGCCCUUACGGGGAAAGAUUUAUCGCCGAAAGAUCGGCCCGCGUCUGAUUAGCUAGUUGGUGAGGUAACGGCUCACCAAGGCGACGAUCAGUAGCUGGUCUGAGAGGAUGAUCAGCCACAUUGGGACUGAGACACGGCCCAAACUCCUACGGGAGGCAGCAGUGGGGAAUAUUGGACAAUGGGCGCAAGUCUGAUCCAGCCAUGCCGCGUGAGUGAUGAAGGCCCUAGGGUUGUAAAGCUCUUUUGUGCGGGAAGAUAAUGACGGUACCGCAAGAAUAAGCCCCGGCUAACUUCGUGCCAGCCGCCGCCGUAA